rnacentral:rRNA from 1 species
CCUACGGGAGGCUGCAGUGGGGAAUAUUGGGCAAUGGGCGCAAGCCUGACCCCGCAACGCCGCGUGAAGGAAGAAGGCUUUCGGGUUGUAAACUUCUUUUGUCAGGGAAGAGUAGAAGACGGUACCUGACGAAUAAGCCACGGCUACCUACGUGCCAGCAGCCGCGGUAAUACGUAGGUGGCAAGCGUUAUCCGGAUUUAUUGGGUUUAAAGGGUGCGUAGGCGGUUUUUUAAGUUAGUGGAUAAACGUCGGUGCUUCACCUUGAUUUGCCAUUAAUACUGUAAGACUCGAGUUCAGACGAGGUAGGCGGAAUAAGGUAAGUAGCGGUGAAAUGCGUAGAGAUAACUUAGAACUCCGAUAGCGAAGGCAGCUUACCAGACUGCGACUGACGCUGAAGCACGAGAGCGUGGGUAGCGAACAGGAUUAGAUACCCUUGUAGUC